rnacentral:lncRNA from 1 species
UUACAAAUUUUAUAAGAGAUAUAUUGAUGACUUGCUGGUUAUUUGGAAGAAAAAUGAUUUUUUAGAACUGAAGAAUUAGAAAAUGUGUUCACAAAUCCCAUAUAUGGUCUAAUCUUAAAGGCAUAUCAAAUUGACAGAAAAACGGUCCACUUUCUAGAUAUUAUUAAAGCAGAACAGAACUUUUAUUCUACAAAGAUCUACUAAAAAUCAAUGAUUAACUGCCUAAUUAUUCCUUACUUAUCAGAGGACCCAAUCUCAUAUAAAAAAGCUAUCUUCUUAUAUUUUAAGAGGAGCAUUACCCAUACAAACACAAUUAAAGGAGAGAAAGAAGAGAUAAAUAAGAUCUUUGAUAUAAGCAAAAAACAUGACUAUAUUAAGAACUUCAUGAGAUCUAUAUGGAAUAAAGCAGAAAGGAUUAUUGGUUAGAAGAGAUAGUGAUAGAAAUCCAUGAAUUCAGUUGAUGAAUAGCGGAAAUCGGCUUGCUGUUAAUCAAUAUAUUAAAGUUCUGUUUCUUAUUCUUUGCAUCAGAUAAUUGCUUGCUACAUGCAAGUAGUUUACUUACAAUUCUCAACCAGGCAAAGGGGGUUAGAUAUACUAUUUGCGAAGUCCCAUAUAAACCAUCAUUUGUGACACCUGAUGGAUAGGCUGACAUUGCCAGAAGAUGAAUAUAAGCAUAAGCAUAUGAACUUUCAGGGUAAAGCAGUGAAAGAUGUUAUUAAGAAAAGAAAUAAAAAGAUUGCUACAAUCAGAGCACCUAUCAUUUUUGAUAUGAUUAGAAAUGAGAAAGAUAAACAAAAUUGCAUGAAAUGAGUUGAAGUGUAUCAAAUACUAAUUAUAAAUAAGGAAGAUGAAAAAGAAAAAUUCUAUGGAAGCAUGACAAAAAAUGUUUAAAAGGAAGUUAAAGGAACACCAAAAUGAUAUAAGACAAGAUAAUACUGCAACAGGUUUAGCAAGGAAGGCUUAUAAAAAUGAUAUAAAUAUUAAAUGGGAUGAUGCAAGGAUUCUUAGAAAAGUCAAUAAUUAUGAAGACAAAUAUUUAAUAGAAACAUUGGAGACUUUAAAAAGAGAAAAUACUAAGAUCUUAUUAUUGAUAGCUCACCAGAAAAUGUUUCACUACCAUAGUACUAUGCUCUAAAUCUAACAUAAACAAUUUUGCUAAUGAC